rnacentral:lncRNA from 1 species
GAAAACCCACACAGGUGCUAUUUGUAAGCAGUUCGGCCACUGUCGACUCCUUUUCGUUGUAGAGAAAUUGCAACGUUAGUUACAGGAACCUAUUCAAAUCCUAAUCCUGUAAACAACAGUGUGCCCAACGGAAGCCAUCACCUAUCGAGUUCGAAGCGUCGGGAGGCUUCGCACGUCUACUAUAGAAAUGAUUCCUUUAAUAAUUGAAGAUCGUUCACAAUGGUCUUACAUAAUGGAUCUCAUCCCAUCAUUUCGACUGUGGUUCCGCCUUUGCUUUCAUUUGUGAUCGAUGUAACUUCUCUCACGGCUACCGUUCAAACUCGCUUAAGUCCAAUGGGGGACGAACGUCAGUAUAUCUACAGCAUCGAAGACGUACGCCCGUAUCACAAGUUUAUGCCUGCUAUCAUGGCUCUGAACGGCACGUAUAGGAAUACCAGACUCUUGAUUGCUUCGGGCGCGUACCGAUUGGGAUUUACUGUUCACAUGCUGAAGUGUUAUGCCCAACAAUUUGUGAAAUGCGUCCACUGCUAUUUUCGCUACCAACGAACUUUAAAUAAAGUAUAAAAAAUAAGUUCUAGUUAAGGUUUUCUUUCAUGAAAUAAAGUAGCACGCAACGCUCACAAUGGAUGCUUACAACUCGCUAGCUUAAGAAAAGGAACAAAAUUAAACAAUUUAAAAGUUGUAACCAGCAUGAAAGAGCCUAAAGGUAAUGGAGUACUUUUCUUUAUUGUACAAUCAAAAUCGCUAAGCUUGCUUUUCCAGAACGGUUUCUAUCCGCUUUUUCAGAGCGUAGUGUGUGUGUGUGUGUGUUGUUAAAAAUACACAAUAUGAUCUGAAAGUAUAUACAGCCAUUCGUGUGGGAAAAAUUGAUUCAAAUUUGUAGCAGUUGUAUAACAAUAUGACUCAACAACGUGACCGAGACAGCAUGUCAACUUAAUGGUAUGUACCUCUGUAACAGCUUUUACAAAAUAAUUAAAAAAGUGUCGGAAACUGCUUGUUCGUCUAUAGGGUAAUUUAUUGAAUUUGAAAUGUUUAACCUACAUAUAUGUAAAGAUUUUUUGAACUUGAAAUAUUAAUGAAACGCACUACAUAUUUAUGAAGUAGAUAUACACAAAGUGAAUUCUGGGCUCGGUAGAUGGCCCGAGUAAAUUACUAGAAAUUUUAAAGAAUAUUUUUAGUAACGCGAUGCUCAUAAUAUUUUCAAAAAUCAUCGGUUUUGCGAGUGCAAAAACUGUUGGAGAAUGUCAAAUACCGAUUUAUUUUGAUGAAAUUGUAUUUAAAUGUAUUUUUCAUAGAACUCCCCUAUUAGUUGCUUAUUGUAUGGGAAGAGAAAAGUAUUUGACGUAGCUGAAAUAUGACUAUCUCGAAUUGGUUACCGCUUUUAUUGUAAACGGCCAUAUUUUAUUCGCUUUGUGAUCUUAAGCCAUGUGCGGGCGAUGCAAUCCGAUUAUAACGAACGUUUUCAGUUUUUCAAGAGAAGCUGAUUCGUGUAUCCGCACAAUGUGGUUGUAAAUAAGUGGUGGGCACUAUGGCCUGUAAAGCCUGCAAAGUUAUGUUGUGUAGGUACGUAAGUUGUGAUGUUGCUAUCUUCGCAAGUUUGUGUCCCCUUCAUUAAAUCCAUUGAAGUUCAAAACUGAAACGUAUUUCGCGCUACAACGUUUCAACCUUGCCAUGCCAACACAAUACCAUGAACAAAUGCGUACAUUUUAUUUAAGAUUUGUUGAAGCUGCGCAUUUUUUUAAGGCGCUACUUGAUUUAUUGUGACACAAGCAAACGAGGUGUGGAAUUUUAGUAACUCGAUUUAACGCUGCGGUUGCUGUGUAUGUUAAAAGACCGCCGAGUUUUAUACGAUUUAGAUAUUUGACUUAGGCUUAUCGACACUAUCUGAAUAUCUCGAUAAUAUAAUCUGUGCCGAUAUCUGUCUAGUGUCUUUAUGUUUCGGGUUUUACGUCCAGUAUCGCCGCUACGAUAUGAAGUUUGUCUAUGUCCGGGUUUGAACCUAGAUCACAACGUUAGAUCACAAGAUUAGCAAUAACAAUGUACAAUACAAGGAAGCAAAUACAAGCUAUCAUGGAAACUGUUCCCAAUGCCUAACUUUACUAUAUAGCUCUAUCUGACUUCGCUUUGGUAAACUUCAAUAGCUGCACACUCUCUAGUAGUUAUUGCCAAACUGAAAUCGUUCAAUUGUUUGUUUCAAGGUUGCGAUUUCAUACUUACCUAGGCCUAGCAUUUAAAGAGCGAUAUAUGCGUUUCUAAAUGCUCACACUCAAAAUUUAUACAGGUGCCCAAAUUGAUGAUGUGCGUCAGAAAAAACCGCGCUCGUUAACCAUAGGAAAACGUGGUGAAAUAAUUGCUUAUGUGCCUAACAUGCUAUAAGUCGUUUCCCCGUGUUGAGUACAUCGCAGAGCAUGAACAAUCAAAGCACAAUUAUUCCUGUGGUAUCUACUCAAUGGUACCUGAGCCUCUAAGGACUAUAGUCUAAGGAACUUUGUUGAAAGUUCUUUAGACUUUAAUCUUUGGUCUCAUGCCGAAACCGUCGUUUCUCAUCGCCGAACCAUAACAUAAAGUUAGGAAUCACGAGAAGCAAUUGCGUUCCGCGCUCCAGGUUAUCCCGGAAACAGCAUAUCAACUGAUAAUCCGAGUGUUACCAAAUGGUCAGAUGAACAUAAGCAGAAAUUGAUGGCCAGCCAAUGACCUCGUUCUGUGUCAUCUAGUACAAAAUGAUUCAAUAU